rnacentral:rRNA from 1 species
CCUACGGGAGGCAGCAGUGAGGAAUAUUGGUCAAUGGCCGCAGGGCUGAACCAGCCAAGUCGCGUGAGGGAUGACGGUCCUAUGGAUUGUAAACCUCUUUUGUCAGGGAGCAAAGGGCGCCCCGUUUGGCGCUUUGCGAGUACCUGAAGAAAAAGCAUCGGCUAACUCCGUGCCAGCAGCCGCGGUAAUACGGAGGAUGCGAGCGUUAUCCGGAUUUAUUGGGUUUAAAGGGUGCGCAGGCGGAAUGUCAAGUCAGCGGUAAAAUUGCGGGGCUCAACCCCGUCUUGCCUUUGAAACUGGUGUUCUUGAGUGAGCGAGAAGUAUGCGGAAGGCGUGGUGUAGCGGUGAAAUGCAUAGAUAUCACGCAGAACUCCGAUUGCGAAGGCAGCAUACCGGCGCUCAACUGACGCUCAUGCACGAAAGCGUGGGUAUCGAACAGGAUUAGAUACCCUUGUAGUC